GUCUCGGCACUGGCGCCUGCAGGCUGUUGGAUGGUGCUAGGUCUUGGCACUGAAGAGCCACCAACAGUGUUCAAGCAGCUGACUGUCCAGUGUUUAUGUCCCCGGGGUGAGCCGCAGCCAUGUCUCAGCCCCGCCUCUCCAGGAGACUCUCCAAGACCAGCAGUGAUUUAAAAGGAAAGAGGCUUACUGGUUCCAUUACAUUCAAUGGAGAAGGGCAUGACAAGUUAUCAGCGCUUCUACUGCCACACAUUCCCUGAAAAAGUGGACUGUUGAUGUCCUGUAUUCUCAACAGUCUCGCACUGGGGGAAAUCCUGGCCAUCUGACCGUCUGUCAGCAAUUGUUGCUGCCUUCUCUCUUCCCAUCUGAGGACAGGGCAAGCUGCUUUUUCCAAUGCAUCCCUUGUCUACCUAUCUAAAGCAAAGAUUCCUGGAUGGCUGUGAACUCUGCCUAUGGCUCAGGAACACAUACAUAAAUUUAUGGACUCACAAAGGGAAGAAAAUUAAGCAGGAAAGUUCAUUUUGUGUCUGACCAGAACUGUGAUGACCUAGUGAGAGUGGAGCUCUUGUUUCUCAGUAUCAUACUGCAAUAAAAGAAAAAUUAUAUGCAAA